GAUGAAGAACGCAGCGAAAUGCGAUACUUGGUGUGAAUUGCAGAAUCCCGUGAACCAUCGAGUCUUUGAACGCAAGUUGCGCCCGAAGCCUCGGCUAAGGGCACGUCUGCCUGGGCGUCACGCAUCGCGUCUCCCCCAAACCGCCAAGGCGGAGGGGAAGGAAGAUGGCUUCCCGUGCCUCACCCGGGCGCGGUUGGCCUAAAUUUGGAGCCCGCGGCACUUAGCUCUCGCGGCGAUAGGUGGUGAACAAGGCCUUGGCCGUGCAAACAACCCGCUGCGAAGCUCUAUGUCACGUGCGCUCGUCGGACCCUUUGAAGUUGCCUUUGGUGACUUAAAACCUUUGCGACCCCAGGUCAGGCGGGGCUACCUGCUGAAUUUAAGCAUAUCAAUAAGCGGAGGA
rnacentral:misc_RNA from 1 species